rnacentral:rRNA from 1 species
AUGAACGCUGGCGGCGUGCCUAAUACAUGCAAGUCGAGCGAACAGACGAGGAGCUUGCUCCUCUGACGUUAGCGGCGGACGGGUGAGUAACACGUGGAUAACCUACCUAUACGACUGGGAUAACUUCGGGAAACCGGAGCUAAUACCGGAUAAUAUAUUGAACCGCAUGGUUCAAUAGUGAAAGACGGUUUUGCUGUCACUUAUAGAUGGAUCCGCGCCGCAUUAGCUAGUUGGUGAGGUAACGGCUCACCAAGGCAACGAUGCGUAGCCGACCUGAGAGGGUGAUCGGCCACACGGGAACUGAGACGCGGUCCAGACUCCUACGGGAGGCAGCAGUAGGGAAUCUUCCGCAAUGGGCGAAAGCCUGACGGAACAACGCCGCGUGAGUGAUGAAGGUCUUCGGAUCGUAAAACUCUGUUAUUAGGGAAGAACAAAUGUGUAAGUAACUAUGCACGUCUUGACGGUACCUAAUCAGAAAGCCACGGCUAACUACGUG